GUGGCUCAGUUGGUAGAGUGCUUGCCUAGAAAGCUUGAAGCCCUGGGUUCCAUUCCCAGC
rnacentral:tRNA from 1 species